AGCGAACGCUGGCGGCAGGCCUAACACAUGCAAGUCGAACGAACCUUUCGGGGUUAGUGGCGGACGGGUGAGUAACACGUGGGAACGUGCCUUUAGGUUCGGAAUAACUCAGGGAAACUUGUGCUAAUACCGAAUGUGCCCUUCGGGGGAAAGAUUUAUCGCCUUUAGAGCGGCCCGCGUCUGAUUAGCUAGUUGGUUGAGGUAAUGGCUCACCAAGGCGACGAUCAGUAGCUGAUCUGAGAGGAUGAUCAGCCACAUUGGGACUGAGACACGGCCCAAACUCCUACGGGAGGCAGCAGUGGGGAAUCUUGCGCAAUGGGCGAAAGCCUGACGCAGCCAUGCCGCGUGAAUGAUGAAGGUCUUAGGAUUGUAAAAUUCUUUCACCGGGGACGAUAAUGACGGUACCCGGAGAAGAAGCCCCGGCUAACUUCGUG
rnacentral:rRNA from 1 species